GGAAUCUUCCACAAUGGACGAAAGUCUGAUGGAGCAAUGCCGCGUGAGUGAAGAAGGGUUUCGGCUCGUAAAACUCUGUUGUUAAAGAAGAACACCUUUGAGAGUAACUGUUCAAGGGUUGACGGUAUUUAACCAGAAAGCCACGGCUAACUACGUGCCAGCAGCCGCGGUAAUACGUAGGUGGCAAGCGUUAUCCGGAUUUAUUGGGCGUAAAGCGAGCGCAGGCGGUUUGAUAAGUCUGAUGUGAAAGCCUUUGGCUUAACCAAAGAAGUGCAUCGGAAACUGUCAGACUUGAGUGCAGAAGAGGACAGUGGAACUCCAUGUGUAGCGGUGGAAUGCGUAGAUAUAUGGAAGAACACCAGUGGCGAAGGCGGCUGUCUGGUCUGCAACUGACGCUGAGGCUCGAAAGCAUGGGUAGCGAACA
rnacentral:rRNA from 1 species